rnacentral:rRNA from 1 species
CCUACGGGAGGCCGCAGUGAGGAAUAUUGGUCAAUGGACGAGAGUCUGAACCAGCCAAGUAGCGUGAGGGAUGACUGCCCUAUGGGUUGUAAACUUCUUUUAUAUGGGAAUAAAAUGUUCCACGUGUGGGAUUUUGUAUGUACCAUAUGAAUAAGGAUCGGCUAACUCCGUGCCAGCAGCCGCGGUAAUACGGAGGAUCCGAGCGUUAUCCGGAUUUAUUGGGUUUAAAGGGAGCGUAGGUGGAUUGUUAAGUCAGUUGUGAAAGUUUGCGGCUCAACCGUAAAAUUGCAGUUGAAACUGGCAGUCUUGAGUACAGUAGAGGUGGGCGGAAUUCGUGGUGUAGCGGUGAAAUGCUUAGAUAUCACGAAGAACUCCGAUUGCGAAGGCAGUUCACUGGACUGCAACUGACACUGAGGCUCGAAAGUGUGGGUAUCAAACAGGAUUAGAUACCCGGGUAGUC